GGUUCUGAAGAUCAGUUGGUCAGAGCAGUGGGCUCAUAAUCUAUUGGUCGGAGGUUCAAGUCCUCCCGGGUCCACCA
rnacentral:tRNA from 1 species